UACGAAGGGGGCUAGCGUUGCUCGGAAUCACUGGGCGUAAAGGGUGCGUAGGCGGGUCUUUAAGUCAGGGGUGAAAUCCUGGAGCUCAACUCCAGAACUGCCUUUGAUACUGAAAGUCUUGAGUAUGGGAGAGGUGAGUGGAACUGCGAGUGUAGAGGUGAAAUUCGUAGAUAUUCGCAAGAACACCAGUGGCGAAGGCGGCUCACUGGCCCAUUACUGACGCUGAGGCACGAAAGCGUGGGGAGCAAACAGGG
rnacentral:rRNA from 1 species